UACGUAGGGGCAAGCGUUAUCCGGAUUUACUGGGUGUAAAGGGAGCGCAGACGGAACUGCAAGUCUGAUGUGAAAGCCCGGGGCUCAACCGCGGGACUGCAUUGGAAACUGUAGAUCUGGAGUGCCGGAGGGGCAAGCGGAAUUCCUGGUGUAGCGGUGAAAUGCGUAGAUAUCAGGAGGAACACCGGCGGCGAAGGCGGCUUGCUGGACGGCAACUGACGUUGAGGCUCGAAAGCAUGGGGAGCAAACAGGAUUAGAUACCCU
rnacentral:rRNA from 1 species